rnacentral:rRNA from 1 species
GUGGAUCAUCUUCUGCAUUGGGAUUGCAACCUUGGUUGAAAGGUGGUUGCACAGGUUCGUUCAAAGUUUGGAUCAACGGUCCAUUUCUCUCCAUCCCACAAUACCAAGGAGUUCUUCUUGGUUGCAUCCUUCUCCACAGCCUCAUUUCCCCUCUCGGAGGAAUCUUUUGCUCUUGCUCUAGUUUGUUGCAUUGGUGGCACAUCUUCAGGCUUUAAGGUGAAACAAAUUGUGAAAAGAUCAUUUUGGUUUUCAGUGGCAUCCAACCGUGUUGGCCAUUUUAUUUAUGGUCUUAAAGAUCGUGUUUGGCCUAAUUUUGUAUGCCAUUUCCACCUUUUCAAACCUCAUGUGGAUUAUUCCAACUAUGCUGCUGUUGGGUGGAUUGUUGAUGAAGUGCUUGAGGAAAUUCAAGCUCGCACUCCUAUGGCUAUCAAGACUAAUCUUAAUUUCCUUAAGAGAACCGACAAGCUUCAUUGUUCAUCCAAGGAAGAAGUUAAAAAGUUUGGAUUUCAUUUGGUUGAUCGGAAUAAAUCUACAAACAACACCUCCAAAGCUCUUUCUGUGAAGAUUUUGGUAGCAAUCCCAACGAACAUUCAAAGCCGACAACAUUAA